CCCUCCGCGCUGCUGUAGAAGCAGGUCGUUGGCGUGUGGAGUGCUGCGGUGCCGGGGUUGCUGAAUGCGGACUUCCGCGGCCGGAGUUGUGGGCAUUGGACACGCAGCUGAGCCCCGUGCAGAGCCCGCGCUGCUUGUGCACGCCGUCUGCCGUCUGGACGGAAAUCUGUUCAAAGCAAAGGACAAGUGACAAAUAAGACGAGAGGAGCUUGGAGAAUACCAUACCAGGAAUGGAUUCUCUCAACUGUGUAACAGCAUCAGAGUCAGCUAUGGAAAUUGAGAAUCAAAGUGAUAACUCUUCCUCUGGUAGCGGUAGCAGCAUAUUUAAAACUCAGUGUGUUCCUGUUCCACCUAAACGGAGGCAGACAAACGCUGUUAGAAAAUUUGUUCGCUUACCUGAAAGUGUUCAGGCAAGCGAUUCAUCUAGUGACUCAUCUAUAGAACCAAGACCAUUGACUUUAAAAGCUAUUUUUGAAAGAUUCAAACAAAAGAAAAAGAAACGUAAAAAGAGGAAAUAUAAGCCAAAAGGAAGAUCAGCGGGAAGACCGAAAGGAAGGAGGAACACUAGAAGGUCACAAAUAAGUGAGAAACAAAUUAAAGACAAAAGACUUAGUUUCCCAUUUUUAGAAUCAGAAAAUGGAAGAAAAGCAUCACCUUGGAGAAAAAUUUUAACCUUUGAGCAAGCAGUGGCAAGAGGAUUUUUUAACUACCUUGAAAAACUGAAGUAUGAAUACCACCUCAAGGAAUCCUUGAAACAGAUGAAUGUUGGUGAAGAUUUAGAAAAAGAAGACCUUGAUAGUCGUAGAUACAAAUACUUGGAUGAUGAGGGAUCUCUCUCUCCUAUUGAAGAGUCAGUAGCAGAAGAUGAGACUGCAACAAAUCUUCAACAUGAUGAAUGUGAUAUUAAGUUGGUGGAAGAUAAUUAUUUCAUAAUGAGUUAUGAAUUACCAAAGAAGAAGAAUGUAUGUUUGGAACAAGAGGAAAAUACUGAAGAAACUGCUUUGUCUAAAAAGAGAGCAUCAAAAUCCAAAAAGCACUAGACAGAAGACAGAAUGGCCUGAAAAGGAGAUAGGCAUAUGAAUGCCAGACAAGGCUUUUAUCUUGACAAGUGUCUGGACUUUACAAAAAAGGUAUGUUUUAUGCUUUAGGUGAGUUUGGGUCAGAUUUGUUUAAAUGUAGUAUAUUGUUAGAUAAUUUAAAACCUCCAUAGAUUUCAUUAUUGAAAGGCAUUUUUGCCCAUUUUAAAUUUGUUUAUGAUGUAAUUUUAGAAAAGGAUUCUCAGAAUUCACAUGUUUUAUAGUGAUACUGUGACAGCUUCACUUUGCUUGCAGGAAAGGGUCCCAGAACUAUAAUUUAGUCUGUUAGAAUCAGAAUCUUGGAUCUUCCCACUUUAAACAUACACAUUUUUAAUGAAUGCAUAAUUAAAAUGAGGUAGAAGUGUAAUAGUGUAAUGCUAGAAAUGACUACACAGGAAACGAUCUCAGAAAUCUAUAAAAUGUAAAAACACCCGGUUGGUUUUCAUUGAUUUUAAAGUGGUCAGAACAUCAGCCAGAUUAACAUUUUUUGUAUUUUUAUAAUUGAUAUUAAAUAACUAAUGAGAAAAUAGUUUAUAUGUUCUUAAAUUCUGAGGCAAAAUUUCAGUAAGUAAAAAAUUUUGCUAUAAUCUGGAAAUUGCAUAGGAAAAACACAUUGCAGUACUGAAGUUUGUAAAAAUCAAGACAAAUUUACAUGUGGAACUGUUCUGUGGCUCACCUGUAAUAGCUACUUGGUACUCUGCAGGUUUAUAUUAGUAUAUACUGUCCUUUCAAACAUUGUUAAAAUCCCUACCAUGUGAUUAAUUCAUGGAUCAUUUCUUUAAAUUUCAUCCUCCAUGUUUUGGCUGUUACACAGUUUUGAAUUCAUCUAAGAAAUUGGAGCAGAUCACAGCUCUUGCAAAUAAUUCUUUUCCCGUGGACUUGUAAAGUGUAAGCAGUGGUUGAGGUCUAUCCCGAUGGGGCUUUUUCCGUAGACCUACAUCGUUGGAAACGCCUCAUAGAGUAACUAUGUGGUUUCCUUUACUCACAGAACUACAUGUUAGAUCUGUGGAAAGAACUACAAGACAGCUGCUAAAUAAACUAUGAAAAACCUAACAGUCAGACUUUUUUAUCUUAGGUAUUGACAACGAUCAGUACUGUUCUAAGGUGUGAUAAGCUUAGGAGUAACUGAUUUGAACUUAAUGCAUAUUUAGAGGGUGUCUGAAAUUCAGAACCAGGCAGAUCAAUCUUCCCUGACCCCAAAUACGUAAUAGUCCUGAAGUAAAUUGCUUGAGAAAAUUGGAUCCCAAAGAUUACAGGUGAGUUGUUUUCUGAAGUGUGCUCAUGUUCCACUGGAAAUCAAAGCCCAGCUAAAAGAAUUAUGGCAAGUAAUUUGUUUCAUCUUACCGUACCAAAUAGUCAGGGUAUAAUGGUCAUUACCAAGGCUUUUAGAAUGCAGUUUCUUAUUUGCUGUGGACAUGACCAUAAAAAAAAUUUCCCACUAGGUUUUCUUUCUGCUACUUUGUUAGCGUUCAGCCUACUGGGAACAUUUUAUUAGCCCUUACUACUGGUAUUUCCAUUGUCUAGGUCAGCACUGUUCCAAUAUAAAUUUAACACAAGCCAUGUAAUUUUCUAACCACACCCAUACAUGACUACUGGUUAUUAUAUUGAACAGUGCAUGCCUAGAUAGAUCCCUGCAGUUCUUAAACCCAUUUAAUCCUGGGUUUUUAGUUUUCUACAAGUUGCCUGGUUACUAAGGGAAGGGGGAGGCUGGCUUCAGAACUUUACAUGAGCAUCUCUGAAAACGGAACCUUACUUUUCAUAUUCUUGUUGGUUGUGUAGGGCUGACUGACAACUAUUGA